GAUGAACGCUGGCGGCGUGCCUAAUACAUGCAAGUCGAGCGAACAGACGAGGAGCUUGCUCCUCUGACGUUAGCGGCGGACGGGUGAGUAACACGUGGAUAACCUACCUAUAAGACUGGGAUAACUUCGGGAAACCGGAGCUAAUACCGGAUAAUAUAUUGAACCGCAUGGUUCAAUAGUGAAAGACGGUUUUGCUGUCACUUAUAGAUGGAUCCGCGCCGCAUUAGCUAGUUGGUAAGGUAACGGCUUACCAAGGCAACGAUGCGUAGCCGACCUGAGAGGGUGAUCGGCCACACUGGAACUGAGACACGGUCCAGACUCCUACGGGAGGCAGCAGUAGGGAAUCUUCCGCAAUGGGCGAAAGCCUGACGGAGCAACGCCGCGUGAGUGAUGAAGGUCUUCGGAUCGUAAAACUCUGUUAUUAGGGAAGAACAAAUGUGUAAGUAACUAUGCACGUCCUGACGGUACCUAAUCAGAAAACCACGGCUAACUACGU
rnacentral:rRNA from 1 species